GAUGAACGCUGGCGGCGUGCCUAAUACAUGCAAGUCGAGCGAACAGAUGAGGAGCUUGCUCCUCUGACGUUAGCGGCGGACGGGUGAGUAACACGUGGAUAACCUACCUAUAAGACUGGGAUAACUUCGGGAAACCGGAGCUAAUACCGGAUAAUAUAUUGAACCGCAUGGUUCAAUAGUGAAAGACGGUUUUGCUGUCACUUAUAGAUGGAUCCGCGCCGCAUUAGCUAGUUGGUAAGGUAACGGCUUACCAAGGCAACGAUGCGUAGCCGACCUGAGAGGGUGAUCGGCCACACUGGAACUGAGACACGGUCCAGACUCCUACGGGAGGCAGCAGUAGGGAAUCUUCCGCAAUGGGCGAAAGCCUGACGGAGCAACGCCGCGUGAGUGAUGAAGGUCUUCGGAUCGUAAAACUCUGUUAUUGGGGAAGAACAAAUGUGUAAGUAACUAUGCACGUCUUGACGGUACCUAGUCAGAAAGCCACGGCUAACUACGUG
rnacentral:rRNA from 1 species